rnacentral:rRNA from 1 species
UGGGGAAUUUUGGACAAUGGGCGAAAGCCUGAUCCAGCAAUGCCGCGUGUGUGAAGAAGGCCUUCGGGUUGUAAAGCACUUUUGUCCGGAAAGAAAUCCUUGGCUCUAAUACAGUCGGGGGAUGACGGUACCGGAAGAAUAAGCACCGGCUAACUACGUGCCAGCAGCCGCGGUAAUACGUAGGGUGCAAGCGUUAAUCGGAAUUACUGGGCGUAAAGCGUGCGCAGGCGGUUUGCCAAGACCGAUGUGAAAUCCCCGGGCUCAACCUGGGAACUGCAUUGGUGACUGGCAGGCUAGAGUAUGGCAGAGGGGGGUAGAAUUCCACGUGUAGCAGUGAAAUGCGUAGAGAUGUGGAGGAAUACCGAUGGCGAAGGCAGCCCCCUGGGCCAAUACUGACGCUCAUGCACGAAAGCGUGGGGAGCAAACAGGAUUAGAUACCCUGGUAGUCCACGCCCUAAACGAUGUCAACUAGUUGUGGGGAUUCAUUUCCUAGUAACGUAGCUAACGCGUGAAGUUGACCGCCUGGGGAGUACGGUCGCAAGAUUAAAACUUAAAUGAAUUGACGGGGUCAUAGCUGUUUCCU